UACGUAGGGGGCAAGCGUUGUCCGGAAUCAUUGGGCGUAAAGAGCGUGUAGGCGGCCAGAUAAGUCCGCUGUGAAAACUCGAGGCUCAACCUCGAGCUGUCGGUGGAAACUGCUUGGCUAGAGUCCGGAAGAGGAGAGUGGAAUUCCUGGUGUAGCGGUGAAAUGCGCAGAUAUCAGGAAGAACACCUAUGGCGAAGGCAGCUCUCUGGGACGGUACUGACGCUGAGACGCGAAAGCGUGGGGAGCGAACAGG
rnacentral:rRNA from 1 species